AUGAGCAGCUUCGCGUACGAGAAGCUCAAGAAGCUCCCGCCCCCACCCCCUCCCGCCAGCGACCAGGAGGACGCGCACUACGCCGUGGCCGCCGCUCAGGACCACUACUACCGCCACGCAGCCGCCGCGAUCGUCGCCAGCAGGAGGACAUGGCGGAGCCGCCGGUCGUCCUCGGGCACCGGGCCGCGCCGGCGCGGAAGGCCGCUGAGGAUCUCGAGCCUGGCGCGGGCGCUGCGUCGGAGGGCGGCAGCCGUGGGUGGCAGGGUGCGGGCGUCAGUGGCCCGGGUGGUGACUAGGCUCAAGGAGGGCGGGCCCUGCGUGGCCGCCCUCUUCGCCGGCAACUACAUGUUCCUGCAGGUCACGCCGUCGAUGGCCGUGCCCGCCGCGGCCGGGGUCGGCAGGGGGGCCUUCCUGCCAUACUACCUCGCCGUCAAGGGCAAGGCCGCCGGCGCCGGCGCCGUGCACGGCUUGAUCCGCGCCUAG
rnacentral:rRNA from 1 species